rnacentral:rRNA from 1 species
ACACCCGUUCCCAUGCCGAACACGGAAGUUAAGCACUUGAACGCCGAAAGUAGUUGGGGGCUUCCCCCUGUGAGGAUAGGACGCUGCCAGGC